AUUGCCUGCUGCCAUGUAAGGUGUGGCUUUGCUCACUCAUUACCUUCCACCAUGAUUGUGAGGCCUCCUCAGUGAUGUGGAACUGUUCAGCAGCCAGAGUCCUAUCCUGUACUUCUCUUCACGUUGCAGACAUCCACGAAAGAGUGAGACUGUUUUCGGUUGGAUUGAAGAGCAAAUGUGUGGAAGGCACCAAGGGUCUCACUCUGUCACCUAGGCUGCAGUGCAGUGGUACAAUCACAGUUCACUGCAGCCUUGACCUCUUGGGCUCAAGCAAUCUUCCUGCCUUAGCCUCCUGAGUAGCUGGGACUACAGACGGAGUUUCACUCUUGUUGCCCAGGCUGGAGUGCAAUGAUGCGAUUUCGGCUCACCGCAACCUCCACCUCCCGGGUUCAAGUAGUUCUUCUGCCUCAGCCUCCCAAGUAGCUGGUAUUACAGCUGCAGGCAGAAGAGGUGCAGUAGAAGGAGAAGUGAAGGAGAUUCCAAGUGUAAUAAUGACUCAAAGCACACUAGCUUAUCUGGAGAUGGAGGAAUUCAGGCCACCUUAUAUCUCUGAGAGAGGCUCUUGGUUCACAGCCUACAAGGAAGCAAAGACUUCACCUCUGAAGCCCAAAUACCUGGAUUCUGACAGCCAACCUGAAUGCGCUUGGAAGAAGAUUCUCCCUCAGAACCUCUGAAUACUAGUCCAGCUUGCCAACAACUUGAUUUCAGCCUAUAAAACCCAGGCCAGAGAAAACAGCUGAGCUCACCAGACUUCUGAGCUACAGAACUGUGAGAUAAUAAAUUUGAUUGGUUAAAGUA
rnacentral:lncRNA from 1 species